CUGGCCACUGCAGGGAAGGACCACCAGAUGCCCAUCAGAUUAAGCUAUAUGGGGGGAUGGGUGAGAGGGGAGACAAGCUCAAACCUGGGGGCUGUGUCAGCAGCUGUGGGGGCUUUAGGUUCCCUCCUCUCACAUGCCCGCUAUUCCACCUCCCUCAAAAGUCAAGCCAGGCCAGCAACAGCUGCUCCCUGGACCUGCUUAGGCUCUACUGUGGUUGGGUGAUCAAAGUGGCCAGAUCAUUUCAGGUAUUUGUGGUUUGAACAGUAGACUGUCACCCACCACAUCCUGCAGCGUCUAUUUCUGGGGAGCAAGUCUUCUCCAUUCCCAGCAUCUAAACAGAUGGCUUCUGUUUGUUAUGGCCACUGUGGCUCCAGUGGGAAUAAUCUAUUUCUUUCUUUGCUCUGGCUGCUAGGAAUCUCAAAGUCAAAGACGUAGGCCAGCUCUGACACUACCCCAACGGUAGGACUUGUAUUUAUUUCAACAGCUAACUUUAUCCCAGAUGUUAUAGUUCUUUUAUCCUCUAGGGUUUUUUGUUUUUGUUUUUGUUUUUUGAGACAGAUUCUCACUCUGUUGCCCAUGCUGGAGUGCAGUGGCGCAAUCUCGGCUCACUGCAACCUCCACCUCCUGAGUUCAAGCGAUUCUCCUGCCUCAGCUUCCGCAGUAGCUGGGAUUACAGGCACCUGCCACCACACCCAGCUAAUUUUUGUAUUUUUAGUAGAGCUGGGGUUUCACCAUGUUGGUUGGCCAGGUUGGUCUCGAACUUCUGACAUCAGGUGAUCCGCCUGCCUUGGCCUCCCAAAGUGCUGGGAUUUUAGGCAUGAGCCACCACGCCGGGCCCUACCCUCUAGGUUUUAAGAUUCAGCCCUGACCCUGCCACUUCCUAUACAACCCUGGACAAAGGGUUCGGCUCUCCAUGCCUUAGUUGUCAUCUGUAAUUCAGCUCAUUUUUUCACAAGGUGAGCUAACACAAGCGAAAGGCAUGACUCGCACAGCUGUUAACAGGCCGGUGAGUAAAGCCUGCUUGGCUCCCACUACACUACUGACAGCAUGACAGUCCCCUCUGAGUAGCCUAGCCACUGGGUACACCCCCAGCUUCUCUCAGCCUUACAGAACUAUUGCCCCAUUUUGUCACAUGCUCCCUUACCAUCCUGCAAUAAAUUCCACGUAAUAUAACCAACAUACUACCCUAACUAAUUACAAGACAGGGACAACAAAGGACUGUCACUUAGCCGAAAUAAAACGUGCUUCAGUGCAACUGUAGACAACACAACCAACUACUUGGCUGCUUCUGAGUUUGUUGUGAAAAGAAGGCUAAGAACAUAAGGGAGCCAAAGGGCGGGGGAGCUAGGAAAGCCAGCCUGGUUCCAGAUCCACCCAGGGUCCACAUGGAAAUGCAGUUCCAGGCUCCCUUCAAAUGGCCCUGUGCUGUGAUCAGUCCCCCUGCAAAGGUCUCUGAGCCACAGUCCCGUCAUCUGAGAAGUGAAGAUGAAACACCAGCCUCGUGGGGUCACGCAGCUCUCCCUGACUCCCGCCUACCUGAGGAUCCCUCUUUAUCCCACCUGGCUGUUCAGCCCGCCUGGAGGGAAUGUGACGGGCUGGAGGCAACAGACCCUUCCUCUCUAGGCCUCACUUGCCCUCAUGCUGUUACCUGGAAACUGUCUUGCUACCUACUGCCCCUUCUGUGUGCUGAGGGACAGGGGACCUGUCUUGGCACAAACAUUUAUAGGGCCAGGAUGGUCCUUCUAGAGUCUUCCGAGGUACUGGGCCACACCCCACCCUGCCAGGUCCUCAUAACCAGCUUGAGUGGGGUCUGUUACUGGCUUUGCCCUCAGGCAUCCAGCAGAGACAGGCAAGUCGGGGCAGGGCAGGGCUGGACACACCAGUCAAAGGCCAGAGCUCUGGUGGCGUGACCACACCUACGUGGAGAGCAAGGCUGAUGGCAUGGCCUCCCCUGGUGAGAGAGCAGGAAGAGGCACAGGUGAGCCUGCCACAGCAGCCCCCAGAAGCCACCAUGGGGCUUCAAGGCUGUGGGAAUCAGCUUGAGCUUUUUCUAAGGUGGGGAAGCUCUUAACAGGAGCAGGCCUGCUGGCUGUCCCCCUCCUCCUGGGACGCUGGAGGGCAGGACACAGGGCAGCAUCUGACACACCCCAGCAGCAAGGGCUUGGCCCAGACCAGCCUUGGGGAGAGACCGCCCACCCCCGGGAACCCCCAGGCCACACUAGCUCCCUGGUGGUCUUACCUUCCCCAGAGCCUUUGAGCCCACAUUCAUCGGUGUACAGCAGCAGUGGGACAGGCCUCAGUCGACCCUCCAGCACCAGCCACGCCUCUGCCACACCUAUGCCCUCAAGGAGGCAUCUGGCAGCCUGGGCCUAGCUCUGCAGGUGGUUAGAAGAGCCCUAGCUCUACCACUUACUUACCUUUGAAACCUUGGGCAGGACACUAACUGGAGGUUCAGUUUGCUUUCAGUAAUAGGGGGCCCGUAAGCAGGUCCUGUUGACCUUCUUACUGGAGGAGGAGAGGGAGGGGGUCUGAAAAGGCGCAGAGCAAAUUCCAGAUCCUGUCCUGGAUGGCUGAUCCCUCACCCCAGCCCAGAACCUGAAGUGGAUGCUGCCGGGAUGGAUGAAUGAGCAUUAUUAUGGAAAAUACUUAAUCCAAGCUUACUGUCUAGUAUCAAAAAGUUAACCUACUUGGGAAGCUGAGGCAGGAGAAUCACUUGAACCUGGGAGACAGAGGUUGCAGUGAGCUGAGAUCACACCACUGUACUCUAGACUGGUCGACAGAGUGAGACCCUGUCUUAAAAAAAAAAAAAUUCCUUGCCUUCUUCCAAAAAUGAUUUUAGUCAGGUUAGAGACACCCAGAAAGAGCUGGGAGACAGCUGCUACAACACAGACAAGAGUCCCUCUUGCCACAGAUUUGUCUCAGCUUCCUGGCAGCCAAUGCAAAGGAUUCUCCGAGAGAGGACAGUCAUUUGUGGAAAGAGAAUGCUGCUGCUUAGCUCCAUUAAAGACUCUGAGAAGUCCUGCAGCAGAGAAACCUAUUAAACCCAUGCAUUACCCAGACUUUGACCUAUUUCAUAGACCUUAUUACCAUCCCAAGGUAAUAUGGGAUUGAGGUGAGGAAGGUCCUCACCUCGCAAACUCUCCUUAAACGUGGUGCGUCUCAGCCAUUCUCUGGGGUGGGCAGCAUCAAGACUGAGCCUAGUUGCUAAAAGCCAUCCAGUAUCCUGCCCAGAAAUCCCUCAGGGCUACAGAACCAUGCAGCAACUCCACCACCCUGAGGUUUGGGACACUUAGUCCUGUGCUUGAGUCCCAACUCUGCCUUCUCUUCCAUAGGUAAGUGACUCACCUCUCCUAGCCUCAGUUUCCAAUUUUUUUUUUUUUUUUUUAAGAGAUAGGGUCUUGCUCUGUGGCCCAGGCUGGCUCACUGCAGCCUCAAACUCCUGGGGGCUCAAGUGAGCCUCCUGCCUUGGCCUCCCAGGUAGCUGGGAUUACAGACACAUGCCACCACAUGUGGCUGAUUAUUUUUUUGUAGAGAUAGAGAUAGGAUCUCGCUAUGUUGUCCAGGCUGGUCUCAAACUCCUGGCUCAAGUGAUCCUUCUGCCUCGGCCUCCCAAAAUGAGUCUCCACGUGUGUGUAUGUGUGUAUUUUGUUUUUGAGGCAGGGUCCCUCUCUGUUGCCCAGGAUAGAGUAUAAACUAGCUCACUGCAGCCUUGACCUCCUGGGCUCAAGCAAGAGUCUGCAUUUUCUAAGGUGGGAUAAUAAUGCCACUACCCUUCCCUGAGAAUAUGAGCAUAGUGUGUGCAACAGAGCUCCCAGAGGGUAUGGAAGGAUCUCAGGGGAAUGGUAAGGCAGGGAGGAGCACAGGGCCUUAGGAGCUCAGCCUUAAGAGAGACUUGGGAGCAAGAAGGCCCCUCCCUGGGCAGCCCUCCUGAGUUGUCACUCCCCUGCUCCCAUGCACCAGAGGCUCAAGAAGGCCUCCCUCUUCCUUUUCCAUCUUUCGGUCUUGGCCCAGCACAGAGAAAGGAGCAGUAGCGUUUGCUGAAUAUUCUCCGAAGUGGGGAUGGUGGAGAAAAAGGCACUGGAGGUUAAGGGAAUAGCAAGAGCCAACACCCAGAGGGCAGAAGGCACAGCCCCAGGCUAGAAGACAACAGGGGCUUGACUGUGGCUGGAAAUGACGCUCACAGACCCCACACCACCCUUUAGUGAGCAUCUGCUGUGUGCCAGGCAUUGGAGCCUGGGUGGCCCACCAGCAGUUUCCAGAUUGUGGAAUUCACAGGCCGGCAACAUUUUUCAAAAAGUUUUCCAAGAGGAAGUCACAGAAAUGGGCGUCACACCAUCAAGGACACGACGAAACCAAGUAGGACGUCAUGGUUCCAGAGCAAAGGACAAUCCUGGGCAUCAUGGACAGUGAGAUUUAUGAAGGAGAAGCCUCACCACCCUGCCCCGGGCCAGCUCCGUGCAAGGAGCAGUGUGUGUGAGCCUCACGUGGCCCUCCUGUGCCUUCACCUACUUCACAGAUGAGAAGGCUCAAGAGACCUCCAAGGGGGAGGGAACACAGCACAGGGUGCUUCUAUGACCUUCUGGCACAGGACAUCUGGAAGGGAGUUUGGAAUCUGCAUUUUAACAUGGGACCUGGGUGGAUCUGAAACCCACCGGCGUCUGAGCUGGCUGGGGUCUGAGGGAGGUCAAGAGAGCUGGGCAGGGAGGCCUCUGUCCCCCAUCUUCCCCCCAGAUGCCAGGGAGCCACAGAAGAUGUGCAGGAGGGGAGGCACGGCCCAUCCCUCAAAGGCAGAAAGUGGUGGAUGCUGGGAGCUGAGCAGCCAGGAUUCCAGUCCCAGACAACUGCUGGGGGAAAGGGGUAUUCACAAGGAGCCCCCAGUGAGGAGAGAGGAGCCAGGCUGGAAAACAGUGUGACACCUGGGCCCUCUGGGAGUUGGGCAGCAUCAAAAACUGCCAUCUGUCCCAUCAGACUACGCCCAAGUCUGUCCAGAAUUAGCUAUUUCCACCCCCACGAUGCUGCUCCAGCCUACCCUCCUCUGCUCAAAACUCCCCUGCAGCUACAGGAGGCUGAAGCAGGGAGGUUGAGGCUGCCGUGAACUAUGAUGGUGCCACUGCACUCCAGCCUCGACAACAGAGCAAAAUCUCAUCUCAAAAGAAACUCCCGGCUGGGCGCAGUGGCUCACGCCUGUAAUCCCAGCACUUUGGGAGGCCGAGGCGGGCAGAUCACAAGGUCAGGAGUUCAAGACCAGCCUGGCCAAUAUGGUGAAACCCUGUCUCUAUUAAAAAUACAAAAAUUAGGCCAGGUGCGGUGGCUCACACCUGUAAUCCCAGCACGUUGGGAGGCCGAGGCAAGGCAGAUCACCUGAGGUCAGGAGUUAGAGACCAGCCUGACCAACAUGGAGAAACUCUGUCUCUACUAAAAAUACAAAAUUAGCCAGGUGUGAUGACACAUGCCUAUAAUCCCAGCUGCUCGGGAGGCUGAGGCAGGAGAAUCGCUUGAACCCAGGAGGCAGAGGUUGUGGUGAGCCAAGAUCGUGCCACUGCACUCCAGCCUGGGCAACAAAAGCGAAACUCCAUCUCACACAAAAAAAUACAAAAAUACAAAAAUUAGUCGGGCAUGGUGGCAGGUACCUGUAGUCCCAGCUACUUGGGAGGCUGACGCAGGAGAAUCACUUGAACCCGGGAGGCAGAGGCUGCAGUAAGCCAAGAUUGCGCCACUGCACUGCACUGCAGCCUGGGCAACAGAGCAAGACUGUCUCAAACAAACAAACAAACAAAAACAAAAACUCCCCUGUGGUCCUCAUCUGAGAGACCCUUGUUACCUCCUCAGCCUCUUGGGCCUCCCUCCCUCGCUCUGAUCCAGCCACACUGGCCUCCACUCUUCUUCAGUGUGCCAGGUGCACUCGGGGCCUGUGCCCUCAGAGAGGCAGCUCCCCCCACAGCUUCACAAAUACGACUGCUUUUCAAAGUGUCAUCUCCUCAGGGAGGCCCUCCCUGACCACAGUAUCUAAAUCCUGAGCCGCAAAGCCCCUUCACUUCCUUCCCUGCCUGUUGUCCUAUGAGCUGGUCUUGCGCAUUCCUUGAUGCAGGUCUCUGCCGUGACUUGGCUUUGCUCACGUGGUGUCCUUGGCCGCGAGCCAGUGCCUGCUAGGUGGUGGGUGCUCAACAUUCAUCAUAAGCCUUUUGCUGGCUAAGCAUCCUUUGUGCUGGGUAACGGGGGGCAUAGGGGAUGAUUGCCCCUACUGCCAUCCCCCACCCCAGUGAAGACCAUGAGUGAUAGGGAUGCUACAAGCCAGUGCUCUCAGGGCUGGGGUGGGCCUCCCAAGGCCCCUCCAGCUGGCCAGGGAAGAGGGCAGGCUGAAAGGCAGGCUCAGGUGUGUCAGCCCCCUGACCUCCCCGCAAGGGCACCAUCAGGAGCCCCCAUGCUACAGACUCUGGGAGGCAAAAUCACACAGUGCCCCAGCCAUGGGGAAUAGCGAAGUUGAGCCAGGGCUCCAAUCCUCAUCUGCCCACCCCCAGCCCCAGCACCCCCAACACCUGGUCUCCCUCCAGCCGCCUUCCCGCCCACACCUUCCCCUGCCACCCAGCCCCUGCAUUUGUGAUGCCCUGCCUGACCCAAACUGCAUGUCCCAGCAGAGAAAACCUCCUCUCCUCCAGGGAGCCUUCUCUGACCACUGAGUCAUGAUUAGUGCAAUUCCUGUGCCUCUCCCUCAGCACUGAGCUUAUCGAACCGGCCAUGGUUUCCUGAUGACGCAACUGCCUCCACCAUCUGACUGGGAGAGUUCCUCUUGGGGUUGGGAUGGUAGAGGCAGAGACAGACAUGGUGAGUGUGACACCCCCAAAUACAGAAUCCCUGUUCAGAGUCAGAUCCCCCCUCCAGGCAGGUGGCACCCCAGCUCACACUGAGUGACUGAGUGUGGUGUGGGCAACAGGACACACACCAGCCUGCUUUUCCCGUGUAUGUGUGUGGCGGGAGGGGGGCGGGGGAAGUGAUUAGCCAGAGAUGCUGGGACAGACAGGACUUGGGGACCUGUCUAAAACCCCACCCAGAGUGAAUUCCCCUCAGUUCCCAUCAUGGUCCUCCUGCAUGUCAGAGAAUCACAGGGACACAGACACAAAGCCCCCUCUCAGAGAGACAGCAACCACCCCCAAGACAGAAUCAUGAUGGCAAGGACACAGAGCCCCUUUCAGAUGCUAGAGUGGCCUCCCUACAGCGACAGACACCCAGAGGAAGACCUUCACACAGGGAAAGACAGCCCCCACCACACCUGCUUCCAGACCAGCCCAGAGUCCCCAGCAGCAACAUGGUCCCCUCCUCAGAUAUGGGUGCCGACUCCACCAGGUGGCCAAGGGUGGAGGGGCCAGUUACACAUGGCCCCUGCAGCCUGCUGUGAGGAUGGUGGGACGCUUCUACUCUCGAGUCGGCUAUGGUGGGGCUAUGCGCAAGGCCUGGGGACAGUGGCUUAUGAGGGAUGAUGCCUGGAAAGCCCUACACUCCCUACCCCGCAGUGGGCACCUUCCCCAGCGCUCUCAUCCCAAAACAUGGACAGGAAGUCCAGGCCCCAUCCAGCCCACCUGGCUAGGAGGAAUGUCCUGGGAUGGGCCUUGCAAGGAGCAGGAUGGAAGGAGGGGAGCCACACCCCCAGGGCCUUUUCCCUCCACACCUUCACUCAAGCUGUGCCCUCCGCACAGGGCACCAUUCUGGCCAAACCGCUGGGCUCUCAAGUGCCAAAUAAGGACAAACAACUGUCAGGCACCGGGAGCUGCGCUGCAGUGACAGCCAGCGGACCAGCACAUGGCACAGGGCAUGCAGCAGCUUCCAUCCACCUGCCCUGUCCCCAGCAGGCCUGAGCCACUUCUGAGGACAAGAUGGCAUCUCUGGGCGGCACUCAGCUCCAUACACGGCAGGGCCACCAGACCCCACUCCAGGCCUGGUCCCAGCACACCUCCCCUGCUGCAUGCCAGCUGCCGUCAGCCCACGCCUCGCACGACCACAUCCUGCUCCCAGCUGUCCCCAUAGGAAUCCUUCCUGCCCCCACUGUGGCCAGCCUGGCUAAGCCCAGCACCCCUGCCCUUGGCCACACCUUUUUCAGGUGACGCCUUCUGCGCCUCGCCACCACAAGGCCAUGGACGCCCCAAACCACGAGUGCCAGGCUGUGCUGGCCUCCAGACAGAAGGGAGAGCAAGCAGCUCCCUUGGCAGGGAGGGGGCAAGCCUGGCUCCCUGCAGUGGGUGGGGGUUGUUCACGCCUGUAACGAGCACUUUGGGAGGUCAAGAUGGGCGGAUCACUUGAGGUCAGGAGUUCGAGACCAGCCUGGCCAACAUGGUGAAACCCUGCCUCUACUAAAAAUUCAAAAAUUAGCCAGGCGUGGUGGUGCAUGUGUAGUCCCAGCUACUCAGGAGGCUGAGGCACGAGAAUCACCUGAACCUGGGAGGCGGAGGUUGCAGUGAGCCGAGAUCGUGCUACUGCACUCCAGCUUGGGCUACUUCAAGAUGCCCUCUCAAAAACAAAAAAAACACCAGUGAGGACUGUAGCCAGGCCCCGCAUCUGUGACGAUCACCGAGGGUAUCAUGGGGCCCCAGGGCUGGGUCUACUGUAGCACACACCAGUGGGGCCAGGUCCCCAGGCUUGAAUGGGGCACCGACGGCCCAUCCCCCUGCCACAAAGCCAGGACCAGCUCGGGGAAGCCCCGGCCAAGCAUCUGCUCUGCACCGGGUGUGGGUGGAAAAAGAUGUGGUUAAGAAACAACAAAAAACCUCUGUCGCCCGUCUCGGGUGGGGAGAGUGCACCAGAGGAGAGGGGACUCAUCACCACCAAGAUCCCCAAAGCCCCAGACAACGGUAGCUACUGCCUGCCUUCGAAGAACGAUGAUUCAGAAGAAGAGGUGAGAGCAAGGGCUUCUGGGGUGGAGGGGCUCCCAGCCAACUGGCACAGCCAGGCCAGGUCCUCCUCCAGCCACGGCACAGCACCGGGAAUCCCAUGUCCUUCUGAGCUCCACCCGGCACGGACUCUCAUUACUAUCAUUUUAGCUCCUGUUUACUGAACGUUUACCAUGUCACAGGCCUUGACACACAGCCUCUCACUGACAUCACAAAACAACAGGAAAUCACACCAGCCACCCAUAACAAAAGCCAGCUGGAUUAAAUAAUUAAAAGUGAAAAAGGAAACCAAGACAGAACUAGAAUAAAACCUAAAUAAUUAUUUAUCUGAUCCUGGGUGGGGAAAGGCCUUUCUAAGGUAAAAAAGCAAAGAAUAAAACCAUAAAGGCGAAGAUCACUGGAUUUUACUGCCUGGAACUUGCAAACCCCCAUAGGUCAAGAAAUGCAGGAACAAAAUUGAAAAGUCAAAUCGGAAACCAGGGAAAUAUUUGCAACAUGGGACAGAGCUAAUAUCCGUGCCGUGUAGUGUUCACAAAUCAAGAAAAAGGCAAGCAGUGCAGGAGACAAACAUGCUGAGUAAAUAGCCUGAUAAAUCACAAGAAAUGUGUAUGACCAAGGAACAGAAGAGAAACAGUCGAAAUCCACGGGGACAGAAAGAUCAGUGGUUGCCACGGGCUGGAGGCAGGGAGUUUGGGGACUGACUGCUCCAAGGUUUUUUUCUAGGGUGAUAGAAAUGUUCUGGAUUAGAUAGUGGUGAUCAUUGCACAAUUGUUUAAAUAUACUAAAAGCCAAUGCAUUGUACAAUUUAAACAAGUGAAUUUUAUGGUAUAUGAAUCAUAUCUCAACUUUUAACAAAGAGAAAUGGUCACACUUAGGAUAAGAUAACCACUUUUCAUCCAGAAGGUGGCAAAGGUUUUUAAAAUAAUACCCAGUGCUGGCACCACUGGUGACAAGAAGAUAUAUGCGUAUGACCUUUCUGGAAGGCUACUCAAAAAUAAUGUAUCAAAAGAAUAAGAAAUGGCUAUUAGGCAGAUGAAAAGAUGCUCAACACCAUUUUCCAUUGGGGAAAUGCAUAUCAAAACCACACUGAGGCUAAACCCGGUAGCUCACACCUGUAAUCCCAGCAUUUUGGGAGGCUGAGGUGAGAGGACUGCUUGAAUCCAGGUGUUCGAGACCAGCCUGGGAAAUAUGGUGAAACCCCAGCUCUUCAAAAAACAAAAACAAAACAAAACAAAACAAAAAACCACAUCACGUAGUGUAGUGAAAAACAAAAAUUAGCUGAGUGUGGUGGUGUGUGCCUGUAAUCCUAGCUACUCAAGAGGCUGAGGUGGGAGGAUCACUUGAGCCCAGGAGUUUGAGGCUGCAGUGAGCUGCCUCUGCACUCCACUGCACUGCACUCCAGGCUGGGUGACAGAACAAGACCCCGUUUAAAACAAACAAACAAAAAAAACACCACACUGAGAAACUACUUCACACCCUUUAAGAUGGCUGGGAUGGCUACAAUCAAGAAGACAGACAAUAACAAAUAUUGGCAAGGACAUGGAGAAACUGGAGUCCUCUCACGCAAUGAUGGUGGGAAUAUAAAAUGGUACAGUUGCUUCAGAAAACAGGUUGGCAGUCAUAUUUAUUUUAUAUAUAGUCAUUUUUUUUUCUGAGUCAGAGUCUCUCUCUGUUUCCCAGGCUGGAGUGCAAUGGCAUGAUCUUGGCUCGCUGCAGCCUCCACCUCCUGGGUUCAAGUGAUUCUUCUGCCUCAGCCUCCUGAGUAACUGGGAUUAAAGGUAUCCACCACCACGCCCAGCUAAUUUUUGAUUUUUAGUAGAGACAGGGUUUCACCAUGUUGGCCAGGCUGGUCUCAAACUCCUGACAUCAAGUGAUCCACCUGCCUUAGCCCCCCAAAGUGCUGGGAUUACUGGCGUUAGCCACCGUGCCCAGCCCAAUGUAAUUAAACAUAGAAUUACUGUAUGCCCCAGCAAUUCCACUCCUAGAUGUAUCCCAAGAGAAAUGAAAACACAGAUCCACACAAAAACUUGUCCACGAAUGUUCAUAGCAGCAUUAUUCAUAACAGCCAGAAAGUGGAGAUAACCUGAUGUCUAUUAAGUGAUAAACAAAUAAGCAAAAUGUGGCAAGUCCAUACAAUGGAGUAUUUUUCAGCCAUAAAAAGGAACAAAAUACAUGCUGUAACUUCGGUGAACCUGGAAAACAUGAUGCUAAGUGAAGGAAGCCAGACACAAAAGGCUGCAUAGUCUGAUUCCACAUAUGUGAAAUGUCCAGAAUAGGUAAAUCCCUGGAGACAGAAAAGAGAUGAGUGGUUGCCAGGGGCUGGGGAGGGAGGUAUGGGGAGUGACUGUUCAUGGGUACAAGGUUUCCUUUUUUGAUGACGAAAAUGUUCUAAAAUUAGAUUAUGGUGAGGGUUGCACAACUCUGUAAAUAUACUAAAAACCAAUGAAUUAUACGCUUUACACAAGCGAAUUUUAUGGUUUGUAAAUUAUAUCUCAAUAAAGCUUUGAGAGCAAGAACGGA